rnacentral:rRNA from 1 species
AUUGAACGCUGGCGGCAGGCCUAACACAUGCAAGUCGAACGGUAACAGGAAACAGCUUGCUGUUUCGCUGACGAGUGGCGGACGGGUGAGUAAUGUCUGGGAAACUGCCUGAUGGAGGGGGAUAACUACUGGAAACGGUAGCUAAUACCGCAUAACGUCGCAAGACCAAAGAGGGGGACCUUCGGGCCUCUUGCCAUCGGAUGUGCCCAGAUGGGAUUAGCUAGUAGGUGGGGUAACGGCUCACCUAGGCGACGAUCCCUAGCUGGUCUGAGAGGGUGACCAGCCACACUGGAACUGAGACACGGUCCAGACUCCUACGGGAGGCAGCAGUGGGGAAUAUUGCACAAUGGGCGCAAGCCUGAUGCAGCCAUGCCGCGUGUAUGAAGAAGGCCUUCGGGUUGUAAAGUACUUUCAGCGGGGAGGAAGGGAGUCAAGUUAAUACCUUAGCUCAUUGACGUUACCCGCAGAAGAAGCACCGGCUAACUCCGUG